UAGGGAAUAUUGGACAAUGGGCGAAAGCCUGAUCCAGCAACGCCGCGUGCGCGAUGACGGCCUUCGGGUUGUAAAGCGCUUUUAGGAGAGAUGAGAAAGGACAGUAUCUCCUGAAUAAGCCUCGGCGAACUACGUGCCAGCAGCCGCGGUAAAACGUAGGAGGCAAGAGUUAUCCGGAUUUAUUGGGCGUAAAGCGUGUGCAGGCGGUUUGGCAAGUUGGAUGUGAAAGCUCCCGGCUUAACUGGGAGAGGUCGUUCAAAACUGCCAGACUAGAGAAUGGAAGAGGGAGGUGGAAUUCCGGGUGUAGUGGUGAAGUGCGUAGAUAUCCGGAGGAACACCAGUGGCGAAAGCGGCCUCCUAGGCCAUUUCUGACGCUAAGACACGAAAGCUAGGGUAGCAAACGG
rnacentral:rRNA from 1 species